rnacentral:rRNA from 1 species
UUUAUGGAGAGUUUGAUCCUGGCUCAGGAUGAACGCUGGCGGCGUGCCUAAUACAUGCAAGUCGAGCGAACGGACGAGAAGCUUGCUUCUCUGAUGUUAGCGGCGGACGGGUGAGUAACACGUGGAUAACCUACCUAUAAGACUGGGAUAACUUCGGGAAACCGGAGCUAAUACCGGAUGAUAUUUUGAACCGCAUGGUUCAAAAGUGAAAGACGGUCUUGCUGUCACUUAUAGAUGGAUCCGCGCUGCAUUAGCUAGUUGGUAAGGUAACGGCUUACCAAGGCAACGAUGCAUAGCCGACCUGAGAGGGUGAUCGGCCACACUGGAACUGAGACACGGUCCAGACUCCUACGGGAGGCAGCAGUAGGGAAUCUUCCGCAAUGGGCGAAAGCCUGACGGAGCAACGCCGCGUGAGUGAUGAAGGUCUUCGGAUCGUAAAACUCUGUUAUUAGGGAAGAACAUAUGUGUAAGUAACUGUGCACAUCUUGACGGUACCUAAUCAGAAAGCCACGGCUAACUACGUGCCAGCAGCCGCGGUAAUACGUAGGUGGCAAGCGUUAUCCGGAAUUAUUGGGCGUAAAGCGCGCGUAGGCGGUUUUUUAAGUCUGAUGUGAAAGCCCACGGCUCAACCGUGGAGGGUCAUUGGAAACUGGAAAACUUGAGUGCAGAAGAGGAAAGUGGAAUUCCAUGUGUAGCGGUGAAAUGCGCAGAGAUAUGGAGGAACACCAGUGGCGAAGGCGACUUUCUGGUCUGUAACUGACGCUGAUGUGCGAAAGCGUGGGGAUCAAACAGGAUUAGAUACCCUGGUAGUCCACGCCGUAAACGAUGAGUGCUAAGUGUUAGGGGGUUUCCGCCCCUUAGUGCUGCAGCUAACGCAUUAAGCACUCCGCCUGGGGAGUACGACCGCAAGGUUGAAACUCAAAGGAAUUGACGGGGACCCGCACAAGCGGUGGAGCAUGUGGUUUAAUUCGAAGCAACGCGAAGAACCUUACCAAAUCUUGACAUCCUUUGACAACUCUAGAGAUAGAGCCUUCCCCUUCGGGGGACAAAGUGACAGGUGGUGCAUGGUUGUCGUCAGCUCGUGUCGUGAGAUGUUGGGUUAAGUCCCGCAACGAGCGCAACCCUUAAGCUUAGUUGCCAUCAUUAAGUUGGGCACUCUAAGUUGACUGCCGGUGACAAACCGGAGGAAGGUGGGGAUGACGUCAAAUCAUCAUGCCCCUUAUGAUUUGGGCUACACACGUGCUACAAUGGACA